rnacentral:rRNA from 1 species
AAUUAAGCAUAUCAAUAAGCGGAGGAAAAGAAACCAACAGGGAUUGCCUCAGUAACGGCGAGUGAAGCGGCAACAGCUCAAAUUUGAAAUCUGACUCUUUCAGGGUCCGAGUUGUAAUUUGCAGAGGAUGCUUCGGGUUCGGUUCCGGUCUAAGUUCCUUGGAACAGGACGUCAUAGAGGGUGAGAAUCCCGUAUGUGGCCGGCCACCACGCCCGUGUGAAGCUCCUUCGACGAGUCGAGUUGUUUGGGAAUGCAGCUCAAAAUGGGUGGUAAAUUUCAUCUAAAGCUAAAUACCGGCCAGAGACCGAUAGCGCACAAGUAGAGUGAUCGAAAGAUGAAAAGCACUUUGGAAAGAGAGUCAAACAGUACGUGAAAUUGUUGAAAGGGAAGCGCUUGCAACCAGACUUGCCCGCGGGUGAUCAACCGGUAUUCUUACCGGUGCACUCACCCGCGGUCAGGCCAGCAUCGGUUCGGGCGGCUGGAUAAAGUCCACUGGAAUGUAGCUCCUCUCGGGGAGUGUUAUAGCCAGAGGUGCCAUGCAGCCCGCCCGGACCGAGGACCGCGCUUCGGCUAGGAUGCUGGCGUAAUGGUUGUAAGCGACCCGUCUUGAA